CCUCCACGUGACCGCUGCCUUCAGCAACGGUCUCCCAGCCCCGACCCACUCCGCCCCCGAGCGUAUCCCCCACCGGAGGUCCUCCCGGCUGGCACCGUGUCCUGGGGACCUCCGUCUUCGGGGUGGGGGGCGCCCUGCGCCGUCCGGGCGGGAACGCGAAGCGACUGCGCACGACCGUCCGUGCAGGAGCAGCGGGACCGCGGGCGCGCGUGGAGGGAAGAAGCCGACGGAGCCCCUGGGGUUGUGUCCCGGCGCGGGAAGGCCCGGACGCCGAGGCUGUCUGUACAAACGGCUGGCCAGUAGUAAAAACAAGAGGUGCGUGAGGACCGUCACCUUGCCGCUCUCCUUGCUCGCUUGGCCAGGCUCACUCCACCUCUGAGCCGCCACGCUCGAAAGAGGAAGUCCAACAUUAAAAAUACAACCGGUGUAGAAGAAAAUAAAUUGGGAGUAAAAUAAAA